rnacentral:rRNA from 1 species
GACGAGCGCUGGCGGCGUGCUUAACACAUGCAAGUCGAACGGAAAGGCCCUGCUUUUGUGGUGUGCUCGAGUGGCGAACGUGUGAGUAACACGUGUGUAACCUGCCCUACAUUUUGGUAUAACUUCAGGAAACUGGGGCUAAUACCGGAUAGGAUCCCCUGCUGCAUGGUGGGGGGUGGAAAGUCUCGGCGGUUGGGGAUGGACUCGCGGCUUAUGAGCUUGUUGGUGGGGUAGUGGCUUACCAAGGCUUUGACGGGUAGCCGGCCUGAGAGGGGGACCGGCAACAUGGGGACUGAGAUAGGGCCCAGAGUCCAACGGGAGGCAGCAGUGGGGAAUAUGGCACAAUGGUCGGAAGCCGGUGGAAGAAACGCCGGGGGCGGGAUGACGGCUUUCGGGUUGAAAACCGCUUUCGCCUGGGACGAAGCUUGAGUGACGGUAAUGGGUAAAGAAGCACCGGCUAACUACGUG